rnacentral:ncRNA from 1 species
UGGUAGAUUAUGGUGGUUUUGAUGGAUUAAAAGUUUUAUUUUGGCUUAGAGUUUAGCUGUGUAGUUUUUGUAUAUGUAAUUCAUUGAGAAUAGGUAGAAGUUAGAAAGUUCUAUGAGUCAGCAGUAUUGAAUAUUAAGUAUUAAAGUAACUUAGACUUAGAGAUUUACUAUAAUACAAACUAAAUUUGUGCCAGCAGUUGCGGUUACACAAAUUGUAUAGGUUAAGCUUAUUUAAUUUAGUUAAAUUUAUAACAUUUUAAAUUAUUAUUAAACUUUUUAAGUGAAAUUUUAAGUUUAGUGUAAAUUAUUGUAGUGUUUUUGAAGCUAGUAAAUUUCAGUAUAAACUAGGAUUAGAUACCCUAUUAUUAGAAGAUUGGUUUUUCGAUUAAAAUUACUAAUAGUUAUGGUCUUUAAAAUUAAAAAAUUUGGCGGUAUUUUAGUCUAUUCAGAGGAACCUGUUUUUUAAUUGAUAAUCCACGAUAAGUUUUACUUUAAAUAUAAAUUUGUAUAUCGUCGUGGCUUGAAUAUCUUAGGAGAGGGUAAUGUUCAAUUGGUAAUAUCAUAAGGAAAUUCAGAUCAAGGUGCAGUUGAUUUUAAAGUUAAAAUGGGUUACAUUGUAAAUAUAGUUGGUUUUUGAACUUGAAAAGUCUAAAUAAAUUGGAUUUGAAAGUAAUUUUAUAUGUUUAUUUAAAAUGACUAUGCUCUAGGAUAUGCACAUAUUGCCCGUCGCUUUCAUUUAAAGUGAAAUAAGUCGUAACAAAGUAGACUUAUUGGAAAAUGAGUCUGGAAUU